rnacentral:rRNA from 1 species
GUAGGUGGCAAGCGUUGUCCGGAAUUAUUGGGCGUAAAGCGCGCGCAGGCGGUUCUUUAAGUCUGAUGUGAAAGCCCGCGGCUCAACCGUGGAGGGUCAUUGGAAACUGGAGAACUUGAGUACAGAAGAGGAAAGCGGAAAUUCCACGUGUAGCGGUGAAAUGCGUAGAGAUGUGGAGGAACACCAGUGGCGAAGGCGGCUUUCUGGUCUGUAACUGACGCUGAGGCGCGAAAGCGUGGGGAGCAAACGGGGGAUUAGAUACCCUGGUAGUCCACGCCGUAAACGAUGAGUGCUAAGUGUUAGGGGGUUUCCGCCCCCUUAGUGCUGCAGCUAACGCAUUAAGCACUCCGGCCUGGGGAGUACGGCCGCAAGGCUG